CACCCACACCCACCCCCCGGACAGUGGCAUAAAACAAUGGCAGAGAAUUUACCUUCUCAUCUGAAGAAGAUUGCGAUUCUGAUGAGGAGCGUUUGCAUUUUGAAGAGCGAGGACUUUCCAGCAAGUUGCUAUGAUGAGAGUGUGGCUGCAUCACCCCUGCCUUCACUGGAAACUCACACCAGGCCACGCAGGUGUUGCUCCAUUUUCAGUUCGAUAGAGAAUCAUCCUGAAUGUGAUCAAGCACCUCAAGUAAUCAUUUUGAAAGCACACCAUAGCACAAAGUUUCCAUAGUAACCUGAGCUUAUAACGGCUGCUGAGAUGACAUGUGACUUUACCAAUCAGCCAUUGGCUCGUCUAUUCAGAAGGCGCGAUAUCUUCUUUGCGCGUUGCACAGUGAGUGCACUUUCUUUCUCACUUGCAAUAGGAGUGCGUGAAAUGAGGGAAAAUGUCGGUUAAUUGUCCAUCCCUGUCGAGUUUUUCCACAGAUGAACUAAUUUAGAAAAUAAUUGAAGCUGGAAUACAGAUAAGCAAAGAAGAGGCCAAGA